UAAACCGUCCCAGAGUUGGAGGGGUGGGGAAGAUUUUAGUAAGCCGGUGUUUCUCACAGUAAGGGAAUGCAUUUGGGAAAAUAAUGCAGACCAGGUAAUCCUCUAUCAGCAGGUAAAGGAUUAACCAGAAGAGAACCUGAUUUUGCAAAACCGACUGAGAUUUCAAUUGCCAGAAAAACAAACAGCUUGCUUUGCCCGGUACGGAACUGGCUGCGAGAUGUUUGUCUACCUGCAGAGAGAGAUAUCACCCAUCUGUACGUGUAUUUGUGAUGCUAAAACUGGAGUCAUACGGGCUGAUAAUCAGGGCAAAGAACAUUCCUGUAGGCUGAAACCCAUGAAAAGGUGGCAGAAAAGCCCAGUGAAUACCCAGGCUGAGUUUAUAGAGAGGAAUCAUCUGUACCAGGGCAUGCAAAUACAGCCUCACGCAGCUUUUUGUAUUCACUUGCCACAAACCUGCGGCUGAAUGAGUUUCACCAGCACAAAUGUUGGAGGAAAGUGAAGUUCAAAGCUGCAUGCAUGAGUAACCAUGGAAACAGAAUUUUAAAUUUGCACAUGUAUUUGUAUCCGAAGUACUUUGUGCGCUCGGCCAAUGCGGGGAGAGGGACACCCCCAUGUCACAACCGGCCAAUGGCGACUCAGAAACACGGCUUGAAUUUCAAAUAUCACCUACUUACAGCAAACCUCCCUGUCCCGAGUGGAGAAAAAAAGGAAUGUGAAAAAACCUGCCUGGAAUUGCCAUCUGCUCGUGAAUAUUCCACAAUUAGCAGGGACGGCGGGAUUCAUUGGAUACAUUAUUCAUUGUGGAUUAUUCGCCCAGAUCUAACAGCAAUAGUGGAACGGGCAUUUAAAUAUUGUGAUGAGGAGCUAUUGCAGACAUUGAAGGUGUAUGUGACUGUCCCCAUGAAUGAAUAUGGAUGUGCUCCUCUCCUGCAGGAAUCUCUGGGAACAAUAAAUGUGUGGUAAAUACCUUGUCUUCUGCACCAAGAGAAAAUCUAGAACUCUGUGAUAAACAGCAUUUUUUAAAAAAAUCCCUUUUCCUGCUCAUUUGUCCUCUGCCUCAAUCCCUCUUCCCUCAACUGGGCUACUCAUGCCCCAAAAUCAACUUCAUUGCCAUUUCAGCAAUAAAGGCACUUGCUGUUUCCCUUGCUGUGGCUCAGGCUA